UGGCUCCCUGUUGAAGCUUGGGUGCAGACGGAAACAGGCUGAUAAACCUGCCCUUUUACAAUCCUUAAUCAUAAUAACAAAUACUUUUCUAAGCCCCAAGUGAAUAAAAUCAUAAAUGCACUGCCAUCCACCUACAAAUCUCUUCAAUUAAAUACAAAACAAAAAAGACAUUAACACAGAAUCUGAAAUAUGUUUUUAUAAAAUAAAACUGUACAACAAAAGGUUUACAAAGAAAAGAUUGAUUCCAUAUGAUGUUUACUAAAAAGUACAAAUACACAAAAAAAAUACUCUGUAAAAUCAAAUAAACAUCACGUCCAUUCUUGCCACUGUACAAACAGAAUGUGUGCUUUCAUUUCAUUAUUUCAUGUGUUUUUGUGAACUAUGUGUUUCAGACUUUUGUCAUUUCAAGCUGCUCAAAGUGCUGUUUGUUUUUGCUUUGACCUCCAGGUUAUCACCUCGCUGCAGUCUUGGAGAAAGGAACUCCCUGAAAUCCCACUUUUAACCAGAGGAGAUCGUCAAAUACUGAAGCUUGGUCAGUGUCCCUCCGCUUCAAAUUAUGACGCCAUAGGUACCGCAUCAUUUCUGGAGGAAGUGGUUAGAUGCAUACAGAAUGCUGCCAGGCCGAUUACUGCAAGAACCAAAAUGGCUACGACCACUCCGACUCCAAUUCCUGUGUUUGUCUGCAUUCUUGCAUUACCUGUAGGCUCUGAAACAGAAAAAAAGAGUCUGUUAAUUGAACUUUCUAGAAACCACAUUUCCACAAGUGCAAUGAAAACUACUGAAGCAUCAAAAUGUUACCUGACUUUUUAAAAUGAGUGUAUUAAUGUUCAUUAAAAAUUACAGCCAAGUAAAAGUAUUUUUUUGGCUCCAUCUCAAAAUAUUACUUGAAUUACAAUCAUAAAAAUAGAAAAGCAGCAAAUCCUCACACCGGCGAAGCUGCCACCUAAAGGAUUAAUGAUUAACUGAUUGGUAGAAAUGUUGUUUGACCAAUCUUUUGUUAAUCUACUAAUUGAUUAGUCAACUAAUAAUUUCUCCCUAUUUUGUGUUACCCAAAUGUUUUAUACUUAAACAUUUGCUAGUGCACCAUAUCAGCAACCUAUCAACACCCUAGCAUCGACUGAAAAACACCCUAGCAACCACUCAAAACACUGCAACCACCUAGCAACCCCCUGCGGACACCCGAACGUACACCUGCAUACCUUAGCAACCACCUAGCAAAACUCUAGCAACCACAUGGCAACCACCUAGCAAUGCCUUAAGAGAGUGCUUAGCAUUGCACUUCUAUAACACUGUCAGACUCAAGGUGGACAGUAAAAAGUUUCAAAUUGAUGCAGCAGAACCAGAGAUGUCGUCUUUUUAGUCCAUGCAUUCUUCUUCCUUGUCAAAACCUGGCUCCUACAUUGCCCACAAUGCAACUCAACAGCCAACAGUCCCAUUGGAGAUUCGGGUUUGUUAUGCUAGUAGCGGCUAAUGUACAUAACACCAAUAAUGGGUCAACCUAUUGUCUUUGAUUUGAUUGGUCAAUAUAGAGCUUGUACCGGGGCAAGCCACACGGCCGCCAACUUGCUUUUGAAUAAUUGCAAUACUUGGUAAAGUGAACCCAGGAUUGUUGUCAUAGUUGUCAUAUUGAUCCAAAUUUGGUCAAUUUUGACCCAGUGAUUGUAUUGUGUGUAUUAUUAGAGUAACUAAUUUUGAGGAUAGUGUAACCUUGGCUUUAUGAACACAUCAUAGCAGCUGUUUGAGGCAGCCUGACCCACCACAUUAGUUUAAUAAAGUUCCACAGUGCCUGCAGGUCUUCUUAG